GACGAACGCUGGCGGCGUGCUUAACACAUGCAAGUCGAACGGAAAGGCCCUGCUUUUGUGGGGUGCUCGAGUGGCGAACGGGUGAGUAACACGUGAGUAACCUGCCCUUGACUUUGGGAUAACUUCAGGAAACUGGGGCUAAUACCGGAUAGGAGCUCCUGCUGCAGGGUGGGGGUUGGAAAGUUUCGGCGGUUGGGGAUGGACUCGCGGCUUAUCAGCUUGUUGGUGGGGUAGUGGCUUACCAAGGCUUUGACGGGUAGCCGGCCUGAGAGGGUGACCGGCCACAUUGGGACUGAGAUACGGCCCAGACUCCUACGGGAGGCAGCAGUGGGGAAUAUUGCACAAGGGGCGGAAGCCUGAUGCAGCAACGCCGCGUGCGGGAUGACGGCCUUCGGGUUGUAAACCGCUUUCGCCUGUGACGAAGCGUGAGUGACGGUAAUGGGUAAAGAAGCACCGGCUAACUACGUG
rnacentral:rRNA from 1 species